rnacentral:rRNA from 1 species
AGUAAAAAGUAGAAUAAUAGAUUUGAAAUAUUUAUUAUAUAGAUUUAAAGAGAUAAUCAUGGAGUAUAAAUUAUUAAAUAAGAUAAGAUUUAAUAAUAACUAUUAAUAGGAUUAGGUUACUAAUAAAUUAAUAAUAAUUAAUUUAAAAACCUAAAGGUAAACCUUUAUAUUAAUAAUAUAUAUAUUUAUAUUAUUAAUAAUAAUAAGAACUAAGUGAACUGAAACAUCUAAGUAACUUAAGGAAUAUAAAUCAACAGAGAUAUUAUGAGUAUUGGUGAGAGAAAAUAAUAAAGGUCUAAUAAGUAUUAUGUAAGAAGUAUGUAAGAAAAUAGGAUAACAAAUUCUAAGACUAAAUACUAUUAAUAAGUAUAAUAAGUACCGUAAGGGAAAGUAUGAAAAUGAUUAUUUUAUAAGCAAUCAUGGAUAUAAUUUUAAUAUUAAUGAUGUACCUUUUGUAUAAUGGGUCAGCAAGUAAUUAAUAUUAGUAAAACAAUAAAGUUAUAAAUAAAUAGAAAAAGUAUAUAUAUAAAAAAAUAUAUUAAAAUAUUUAAUUAAUAUUAAUUGACCCGAAAGCAAACGAUCUAACUAUGAUAAGAUGGGUAAACGAUCGAACAGGUUGAUGUUGCAAUAUCAUCUGAUUAAUUGUGGUUAGUAGUGAAAGACAAAUCUGGUUUGCAGAUAGCUGGUUUUCUAUGAAAUAUAUGUAAGUAUAGCCUUUAUAAAUAAUAAUUAUUAUAUAAUAUUAAAAUAAUAUUAUAUAAAGAAUGGUACAGCAAUUAAUAUAUAUUAGGGAACUAUAAAAGUUUUAUUAAUAAUAUUAAAUCUCGAAAUGUUUAAUUAUAUAUAAUAAAGAGUCAGAUUAUGUGCGAUAAGGUAAAUAAUCAAAAGGGAAACAGCCCAGAUUAAGAUAUAAAGUUCCUAAUAAAUAAUAAGUGAAAAAAAUAUUAAAAUAUUAUAAUAUAAUCAGUUAAUGGGUUUGACAAUAACCAUUUUUUAAUGAACAUGUAACAAUGCACUGAUUUAUAAAAAUAAAAUAAUAUUUAAAAUCAAAUAUAUAUAUAUAUUUUUGUUAAUAGAUAAUAUACGGAUCUUAAUAAUAAUAAGAAUUAUUUAAUUCCAAAAAUGGAAUAUCAUAUUAAAUUAAUAAAAAAUAUGAAUACUGAAUAUCUAAAUAUUAUUAUUAAUAAUAAAUAAUAAUAAUAAUAUGGUAAUAGAACAUUUAAUGAUAAUAUAUAUUAGUUAUUAAUUAAUAUAUUAAUUAAUUAAAUAGAGAAUGCUGACAUGAGUAACGAAAAAAAGGUAUAAACCUUUUCACCUAAAACAUAAGGUUUAACUAUAAAAGUACGGCCCCUAAUUAAAUAAAUAAGAAUAUAAAUAUAUUUAAGAUGGGAUAAUCUAUAUUAAUAAAAAUAAUCUUAAAAUAUAUAUAUUAUUAUUAUUAAUUUAUUAAUUAAUUAAUUAAUAAUAUAUAUAAUUAUAUUUAUAUAUUAUAUAUAUAUAUAAUAUAAACUAAUAAAGAUCAAGAAAAGUAUUAAUGUAUACCGUAAUGUAGACCGACUCAGGUAUGUAAGUAGAGAAUAUGAAGGUGUAUUAGAGAAUUAAAGGGAAGGAACUCGGCAAAGAUAGCUCAUAAGUUAGUCAAUAAAGAGUAAUAAGAACAAAGUUGUACAACUGUUUACUAAAAACACCGCACUUUGCAGAAACGAUAAGUUUAAGUAUAAGGUGUGAACUCUGCUCCAUGCUUAAUAUAUAAAUUAAAUUAUUUAACGAUAAUUUAAUUAAAUUUAGGUAAAUAGCAGCCUUAUUAUGAGGGUUAUAAUGUAGCGAAAUUCCUUGGCCUAUAAUUGAGGUCCCGCAUGAAUGACGUAAUGAUACAACAACUGUCUCCCCUUUAAACUAAGUGAAAUUGAAAUCGUAGUGAAGAUGCUAUGUACCUUCAGCAAGACGGAAAGACCCUAUGCAGCUUUACUGUAAUUAGAUAGAUCGAAUUAUUGUUUAUUAUAUUCAGCAUAUUAAGUAAUCCUAUAAUUUUAGGUAAUCGUUUAGAUAUUAAUGAGAUACUUAUUAUAAUAUAAUGAUAAUUCUAAUCUUAUAAAUAAUAAUUAAUUAAUUAAUUAAUUAAUUAAUUAUUAAUACUUAAUAGAUAUAAUUUCUUAAGUAAUAUAUAAUAUAUUAUAUUAUUAUAUGUAUUAUAUAUAUAUAUAUAAGAGACAAUCUCUAAUUGGUAGUUUUGAUGGGGCGUCAUUAUCAGCAAAAGUAUCUGAAUAAGUCCAUAAAUAAAUAUAUAAAAUUAUUGAAUAAGAAUAAUAUAUAUUAUAUAUAUUAAUUAUAAAUUGAAAUAUAUUUAUAUUUUUAAUGAAUAUAUUUUAGUAAUAGAUAAAAAUAUGUACAGUAAAAUUGUAAGGAAAACAAUAAUAACUUUCUAUUUAUUAAUUUAUAAAAAAAGUAUAGAAAGAAUUAGAUUAAUAUAAUGGUAUAACUGUGCGAUAAUUGUAACACAAACGAGUGAAACAAGUACGUAAGUAUGGCAUAAUGAACAAAUAACACUGAUUGUAAAGGUUAUUGAUAACGAAUAAAAGUUACGCUAGGGAUAAAAAUUACCCAUUUGUCCCAUUAUAUUGAAAAAUAUAAUUAUUCAAUUAAUUGAAGUAAAUUAAAUUGGGUGAAUUGCUUAAAUAUCCAUAUAAAUAAAUAAUAUGGACAAUAAGCAGCGAAGCUUAUAACAACUUAUAUAUAGUUAUAAGAACGUUCAACGACUAGAUGAUGAGUAAAGUUAACAAUAAUUCAUCCAUGAGUGCCCAAUAUCUAAUAAAUAUAAAUAUUAUAAUAGUUUUUUAUUUAUUUGAUAAUGAUAUAGUCUAAACAAUUUGGUAACAGAUUGAUAAAUAUGUAAUAAUAUUUAUAAAAUAAUUAAUAAAUUUUGAACAGGGUAAUAUAACGAAAGAGUAGAUAUUGUAAGUUAUGUUUGCCACCUCGAUGUCGACUCAACAUUUCCUCUUGGUUGUAAAAGCUAAGAAGGGUUUGACUGUUCGUCAAUUAAAAUGUUACGUGAGUUGGGUUAAAUACGAUGUGAAUCAGUAUGGUUCCUAUCUGCUGAAGGAAAUAUUAUCAAUUUAAAUCUCAUUAUUAGUACGCAAGGACCAUAAUGAAUCAACCCAUGGUGUAUCUAUUGAUAAUUUAAUAAUAUAUUUAUAAUAAAAAUUUUAUAAUAAAUAUAUUAUCUAUAUUAGUUUAUAUUUUUAUAUAAUUAUCAUAGUAGAUAAGCUAAGUUGAUAAUAAAUAAAUAUUGAAUACAUAUUAAAUAUGAAGUUGUUUUAAUAAGAUAAUUAAUCUGAUAAUUUUAUACUAAAAUUUAAUAAUUAUAGGUUUUAUAUAUUCUUUAUAUAUUAAUAAUAUUUUUUAUAAUAUUAAUAAAAUACUAAUUUAUCAGUUAUCUAUAUAAUAUCUAAUCUAUUAUUCUAUAUACU